rnacentral:rRNA from 1 species
AUUGAACGCUGGCGGCAGGCCUAACACAUGCAAGUCGAACGAGUGGCGGACGGGUGAGUAAUGUCUGGGAAACUGCCCGAUGGAGGGGGAUAACUACUGGAAACGGUAGCUAAUACCGCAUACCAUCGGAUGUGCCCAGAUGGGAUUAGCUAGUAGGUGGGGUAAUGGCUCACCUAGGCGACGAUCCCUAGCUGGUCUGAGAGGAUGACCGGCCACACUGGAACUGGGACACGGUCCAGACUCGUACGGAGGGCAGAAGUGGGGAAUAUUGCAAAUGGGGCGCAAGCCGGAUGAAGCCCUGCGGGGUGUAGGAAGAAGGCCUUCGGGUUGUAAAGUACGUUCAGCGGGGAGGCGUUACCCGCAGAAGAAGCACCGGCUAACUCCGUGCCAGCCGCCGCGGUAAUAC